GACUGACUCCCCAGGGACAUGAGGUGGAUACUGUUCAUUGGGGCCCUUAUUGGGUCCAGCAUCUGUGGCCAAGAAAAAUUUUUUGGGGACCAAGUUUUUAGGAUUAAUGUCAGAAAUGGAGACGAGAUCAGCAAAUUGAGUCAACUAGUGAAUUCAAACAACUUGAAGCUCAAUUUCUGGAAAUCUCCCUCCUCCUUCAAUCGGCCUGUGGAUGUCCUGGUCCCAUCUGUCAGUCUGCAGGCAUUUAAAUCCUUCCUGAGAUCCCAGGGCUUAGAGUACGCAGUGACAAUUAAGGACCUGCAGGCCCUUUUAGACAAUGAAGAUGAUGAAAUGCAACACAAUGAAGGGCAAGAACGGAGCAGUAAUAACUUCAACUAUGGGGCUUACCAUUCCCUGGAAGCUAUUUACCACGAGAUGGACAACAUUGCCGCAGACUUUCCUGAUCUGGCGAGGAGGGUGAAGAUUGGACAUUCGUUUGAAAACCGGCCGAUGUAUGUACUGAAGGUGAGGCCACAUGCACUUGGAAGGGUCUCCUGGGUCCCCAUGCCCAGGACCCAGCCUCAGACCU
rnacentral:sRNA from 1 species